rnacentral:tRNA from 2 species
UACCGAGGGUUCGAAUCCCUCUCUUUC